UACGGAGGGAGCUAGCGUUGUUCGGCUAUACUGGGCGUAAAGCGCACGUAGGCGGCGUCGUAAGUCAGGUGUGAAAUCCCGGAGCUCAACUCCGGAACUGCCUUUGAAACUGCAAUGCUAGAAUCUUGGAGAGGCGAGUGGAAUUCCGAGUGUAGAGGUGAAAUUCGUAGAUAUCGAGAGGAACACCGGUGGCGAAAGCGGCCUUCUGGACGAGGACUGACGCUGAGAUGCGAAAGCGUGGGGAGCAAACAGG
rnacentral:rRNA from 1 species